AUCUCCACUAACCAGUAUUCAAUAGAGCCCACUAAGAAUUCUAUAAAGGUAAAUUACUGAGGAAAUCAACCAUAACAACUGCUGGAGGGCAGACUGAACCAGAUUUGGAAAAUCUUACUUUUCCCUAAAGAAUGGGGCAAAAAGCCAUACCCUUCACCUCCAAAUCAGAUACAGUCAAGGCCUGAAGCUCUUAAGACACAAGAAGAAAUUGCAGCUUUGGAAGAGAAGGAACUGGAAGGAUGUUACCUCCCCACCAAUGGAUUACAAGAAAAAGUUAUGCCUGUCCAUCCAGCAAAGGAGAAAUACAGGUGACAGCAGAAGAGAAGACCCCAGGCACCGAAGACCCUCUGCCCCAAGGGUAGCAAGAAAUAACCUUUGGUGUUCUAUAAGAUAUUA
rnacentral:lncRNA from 1 species